rnacentral:rRNA from 1 species
GACUGCGGAGGGACAUUG